GGAAUAUUUCCCAGGCUCCUCUCCUUGCUGGCUUCUGGGCAUGUGCAACCAUUGGAAGGAACUGUAGAAGACCAGAGGACAGAAUGAGAAGAGAGAGCAUGGUCUCAACUGUUUCUCUUCUCCUUCAUUUCUUGCAAAUACUGGGCCUCAGAUUCUUAGGGGAAGAAUCUGAAGAGAAUCAUUUUCCAUUUCCAAGUCAAGUCUUUGUCUAUGAGUAACCAGAACAAAGUAUGUCAAGUUAAUUAAAACUCACAUGAAGAACUAGUGAACAGUAAGCCAAAUCAGCGGCCUAGAAACCCUGGAUACCAUAUGUAUUUACCUCAUUCUCGUGACCAAGCUGACCCUUUGUCUUCUAUUUCUUCAUCCGU